CGGAAAUGGCAUGCAGGAGGUAUGCCUAAUAAAAGUAUGACAUUUGUUUUACAAGGCUCGCGCACACAAUGUUUACAGCUGGCGCUUAUUUGCAUUCGGUUGCUGUGGAUACUAUCUCGGUGAUAUCCCAAAAAACCUGAGCGUAGUCCGUCAAAUUCAGGGCACGGAAUCGUUUGACUUAGACACAAUGUCAUUAAAGUAAGCACGCGAUUGAGAAAAAAUGGAGUUCUACCGAGGCAUGUGGUAUAUGAUGAGCGACCAAAGAAGACAGACAAAAGGUGCUAAAAUUAAUGGUGGAGGGGCGGAGGGGGGCGGCCGUAAUGGGAGGAGUUCAUUUCGUAAUCUUGCUCCUCUACAUCUCGCGGCUGAUCAGACGCAGACUUUUUUAGACGAGCUCUCAGCAUUGUGUACGCCCUGACAAGGAUGCUUGUGGGGACGAUCAAAACGCUACAUGCAAACUACAGCUGGCCUGGCGACAGACACGGAGGAAGACGAACCUUGAGGGGUGCAAGCGAUGGGUGAGGACGGGAGAGCAAUUCUUGGAGCCUCGGGCCAGUUCUGCCUCCAGGAUGGCACUCCUGCACUCAGGUAACCGUUCCGCUCCGCUUCCUGCCCGGAUUGAACUUGGGGGACAGAGGGACACAGAUCGCGGUGAGGGUGAGGGCUCCAAAAUUCCAUUUUCCAGAGGCCGGAUUUAAACCCAGUCUCCCGUAGGCUGCCUAGAUAGGAAUUCCUUCAGAAGAGAUUGUGUUAUCUAAUACAGGUCAGGUGAAGGCAGCAGAACAAAAUGAAAAUUGAAUAUCGUUCUAAAUAUCGAGGCUUGAAUAGUUCACUACGUGAAGUGAAUACUGCAUUCUGUUACUAAUUACUUUAUCCUGUUCACACAUGCUGGGCAAUAGUAAAUAGGAAAUAGUGAUGCUUAUGUGGAAAUGUUUUUGUGCAGUGAAUCAUGUUUUAUGGGAUUCAUACAAUUAAUGAUUCAUGGCUGUUAGCUGUAGAGCCUUUGCUCGGAGUCAUCCAGUUGCACUCAUUGCCGUAUGUUUCUUUUCUUGUCAUUACGUUUCAUGAUCAGGGGAUACUGUUUUAUCAUUUUAAGGGUGUCUGUCUAAUGGGGAUGUGUAGUUAUGUUUGUAUAUGUAUGCUGAGGAGUAUGGCUCGCUUUAACCUGGAAUGUUUUGGUAUGGCCAGUGGUCUGCCUUACAGCCUACCCAUUACUCAAACGUUGUUCUCACCAGCAUGCUUGGAGCGAUCUCCCAUUUCCCCCUCCUUUCAAAGGCACCAGCUCUCUGCAGGUAGCAGAAUGCAAGGGAUUUCAAAGCCAGUUCACCGUAGGGGGGAUGAUUGGAUGGACAGAUGCGGAGAGCCAGAUUGGAAAAUUGGCCAGGAGGCGUGGGUUAACAUCCCUGCUUUUCCGAUAAGUGCUGUGGGAUCUUUAAUGAUCACAGUGAGUCAGGACCUCUGUUUAAUGUCUGAUCUGAAAGAUGGCAUCUCCUGCAGCACAGUGCCUCCAACAGCGGGGUGUUGGUUUUCCACUUGGUCCAGAGCAAGUCUGACCCCUACUGGCUCACCGGCAUCACUUCCAGCAGCUUCCAUCACUUCCCCAGAAAUCUUUCAUUCAGGUACUGACCAGGCUCAGCUCCAAUUAGGGUAUGGCCACUGGAUAGUUUGUACAGUACCAGAAGGUUAACCGUAUUUCAAUGACUAAUUGUAAUGGUUGAUGGUACACAAAUACGAUUUAUGUUGUAUGCAACGCCAGGACCUUGAACCAGUCAUCAGUCAUUUCAAUUGUGCAUUUCAGGUACAGUGACCUUUCACCUUUCACCCUGUAGGAUUUGGAGACUUCACACCAGGGCACAAUGACCUGAGAAGCUUGUCAGUAUAACGUGCUCAGUCAAAGUUGUGGGACAGUCCAGUCCCACUGGAUGUGACAGAAGGACAGAAAGACGACAGGGCGUUCCCCUUGUUCAGAAUUUAAGCUCACAGCUUUCUCUGCUUGGAGGUGACCAGGGUUUGGGAGGGGUGGUGGUGGCGGUGGUAAGGACGCCAAAGCAAAACUGAUGGAGCCACAGUGUCAGCAUCCCCUUCAGAUGUCCCCAUGGUGAGUGACCAGGAGGAGUCACAGGAGGUCCUGUUCCACUUUCUGCUGCUCUCUUUUACUCUGUCCCUCUUCAGAUGAGCCGGGGAUCACGCAAAGAUGAAGUGUCGUCUUCCAUGCCGGUGAAUAUCUGUCUGUCCAUCUGUCCAGACUGCCCAAGACAGUAUGCUGCCUUAAAGAUAUUAUACAGAGGUUUGAGAGCGGUGUGGGAGUCCCCACCCUAUGGAAUGGGUGUGAGGGAAGAGGCCUGGCACUGCCCUGUCUUGGGAGAGGAGAGGAGGCCCCUGCAGUUGGAUCACAGCAGCCAUUGGGAAACUCAACACAGGAUGUAUGCAGUACAUACAAUGGCAACCAAAA